UACGGAGGGUGCGAGCGUUGUCCCGAAUCACUGGGCGUAAAGGGCGCGUAGGCGGCCUGAUAAGUAGGGGGUGAAAUCCUGCGGCUUAACCGCAGGGCUGCCUUCUAAACUGUCAGGCUAGAGCACAGUAGAGGCAGGUGGAAUUCCCGGUGUAGCGGUGGAAUGCGCAGAUAUCGAGAGGAACACCGGUGGCGAAGGCGGCGAUCUGGACGAUGACUGACGCUGAGACGCGAAAGCGUGGGGAGCAAACAGG
rnacentral:rRNA from 1 species